UACGUAGGUGGCAAGCGUUGUCCGGAUUUAUUGGGUUUAAAGGGUGCGUAGGCGGCCCUGUAAGUCAGUGCUGAAAUAUCCCAGCUUAACUGGGAGGGUGGCAUUUGAUACUGCGGGGCUAGAGUACAGAUGAGGUAGGCGGAAUUGACGGUGUAGCGGUGAAAUGCUUAGAUAUCGUCAAGAACACCUAUAGCGAAGGCAGCUUACUAGGCUGUAACUGACGCUGAGGCACGAAAGUGUGGGGAUCAAACAGG
rnacentral:rRNA from 1 species